rnacentral:rRNA from 1 species
UACGUAGGGGGCAAGCGUUGUCCGGAUUUAUUGGGCGUAAAGAGCGUGUAGGCGGUUUGGUAGGUCCGUUGUGAAAACUCGAGGCUCAACCUCGAGACGCCGAUGGAAACCAUCAGACUAGAGUCCGGAAGAGGAGAGUGGAAUUCCUGGUGUAGCGGUGAAAUGCGCAGAUAUCAGGAAGAACACCGGUGGCGAAGGCGGGUCUCUGGGCCGUAACUGACGCUGAGGAGCGAAAGCAUGGGGAGCGAACAGG